rnacentral:snRNA from 1 species
GGAUGUGAGGGUGAACUGGCUACAACAUCUGUCACCGCAUCGAUCUCCAGGGUCGGUUCAGCUGAUCUGGCUGGCCUGGCGGGUGUCCCCUUGCUCCCUCACCGCGCCACAUGUGUCCCUUGCGAAGCUGCGCGCUUGGGCGAGGACGACGUUCCCCGAUACAGGAGGACCGUUCUUUGGUCAGGAGUACGCGAGUAGCUGCACUGCCCUGCUAGAGCCUCCCAACGAGGCUCUAGCCUUGCAGCAGGAUGUGGGGUAGUGAGGCCUUCAAGACACAUCUAGAUGAGGUGCUGCGCGUGGUGGUCUGCCUUUCUUA